GGUCGGGUGUCCGAGCGGUCCAAGGAGUUACGUUCAGGUCGUAAUCUGCUUCUGCAGGCGCGGGUUCGAAUCCCGUCCCGACCA
rfam:Salpingoeca sp. ATCC 50818 unplaced genomic scaffold supercont1.4, whole genome shotgun sequence.